rnacentral:tRNA from 1 species
ACCUGGCUAGCUCAGUCGGUAGAGCAUGCAACUCUCAAUCUCAGGGUCGUGAGUUCAAGCCCCGUGUUAGGCA